UACCACAUCUAAGGAAGGCAGCAGGCGCGUAAAUUACCCAAUCCUGAUUCAGGGAGGUAGUGACAAGAAAUAACAGACCGGAGCCUCUGUGUCCGGGAUUGCAGGGAGUACAAUUUAGACUCCUUAACAAGUAACAAUUGGAGGGCAAGUCUGGUGCCAGCAGCCGCGGUAAUUCCAGCUCCAAUAGCGUAUAUUAAAGUUGUUGCAGUUAAAAAGCUCGUAGUUGGAUUUCUGUGAGAGUGCCGGUGUCGGCUGAUGCUUGUACGCAGGCGCUCUUACAUCCUUCUGUUAACUGUUCUUGGCAUUUUAUUGCUGGUUCAGGGCUCAGAUAUUUUACCUUGAGAAAAUUAGAGUGUUUCAGGCAGGCUUAUGCCGGAAUACAUUAGCAUGGAAUAAUGGAAUAGGACCUGUGCGUCUCUCGGGGCGCCGGUCUCCGUUGUUGGUUUCGGGGACUAAUGUAAUGAUA
rnacentral:rRNA from 1 species